UAGGUACUCCCUCCGUUCGGAAUUACUUAUCGCAGAAAUGGAUGUAUCUAGAUGUAUUUUAGUUUUAGAUACAUCUAUUUUCGAGACAAGUAUUCCGAACGGAGGGAGUAGCUG
rfam:Triticum aestivum genome assembly, contig: Triticum_aestivum_CS42_TGACv1_scaffold_146981_2BS